AUUGAACGCUGGCGGCAGGCCUAACACAUGCAAGUCGAGCGGAGCGGCGGACGGGUGAGUAAUGCCUAGGUAUCUGCCUGGUAGUGGGGGAUAACGUCCGGUAACGGGCGCUAAUACCGCAUACUCUCAGAUGAGCCUAGGUGGGAUUUGCUCGUGGGUGGGGUAAAGGCCUACCAAGGCGACGAUCCGUAACUGGUCUGAGAGGAUGAUCAGUCACACUGGAACUGAGACACGGUCCAGACUCCUACGGGAGGCAGCAGUGGGGAAUAUUGGACAAGGGGCGAAAGCCUGAUGCAGCCAUGCCGCGUGUGUGAAGAAGGUCUUCGGAUUGUAAAGCACUUUAAGCUGGGAGGCGUUACCAACAGAAUAAGCACCGGCUAACUCCGUGCCAGCAGCCGCGGUAAUAC
rnacentral:rRNA from 1 species